rnacentral:rRNA from 1 species
GACGAACGCUGGCGGCGUGCCUAAUACAUGCAAGUAGAACGCUGAAGGAGGAGCUUGCUUCUCUGGAUGAGUUGCGAACGGGUGAGUAACGCGUAGGUAACCUGCCUGGUAGCGGGGGAUAACUAUUGGAAACGAUAGCUAAUACCGCAUAAGAGUAGAUGUUGCAUGACAUUUGCUUAAAAGGUGCAAUUGCAUCACUACCAGAUGGACCUGCGUUGUAUUAGCUAGUUGGUGAGGUAACGGCUCACCAAGGCGACGAUACAUAGCCGACCUGAGAGGGUGAUCGGCCACACUGGGACUGAGACACGGCCCAGACUCCUACGGGAGGCAGCAGUAGGGAAUCUUCGGCAAUGGACGGAAGUCUGACCGAGCAACGCCGCGUGAGUGAAGAAGGGUUUCAGAUCGUAAAGCUCUGUUGUAAGAGAAGAACGAGUGUGAGAGUGGAAAGUUCACACUGUGACGGUAUCUUACCAGAAAGGGACGGCUAACUACGUG